rnacentral:lncRNA from 1 species
GUUUUCAACCGAAACUUUGACGGCUUAAUUCCUCCUCCCGGUUACAGCGAUUAUACGUUGAUCGUCCUUUACCGUAUCUCAUUGGGUCAAAGCUGUUCAUGGAACAAGAAGAUGUAGGUCUUGGAGAGCUGUCCAGUGAAGAAGGCUCUGUAGGCAGUGAUCGUGGCAGUAUUGUGGACAGUGAGGAAGAGAAAGAAGAAGAGGAGUCAGAUGAAGAUUUUGCCAAUCAUAGUGACAAUGAUCAAAACUGGCACACGACACAAAUGAGUGAUGAAGAAGAGGAUGAUGAUGGUUGUGACCUUUUUGCUGACUCCGAGAAGAAGGAGGAAGAUAUUGAGGACAUUGAAGAAAGUACUAGACCUAAAAGAAGCAGACGUACGUCAUUUGCUAAUGAGCUGGCUGCCCGCAUCAAGGGUGACGCCGUGGGCCGAGUGGACGAGGAGCCAACAAAUGAAGAGGAUAACUUAUUCGCACCCCCUAAGCUGACCGAUGAGGACUUCUCACCAUUUGGCUCUCGAGGUGGCCUGUUUAGUGGGGGCAAGGGGCUCUUUGAUGAUGAGGAUGAGGAGAGUCUUUAUCAUCCAAA